GCGUCGUGCUGCAACGGUUAGCAUACGCUCCCGGAAAGAGUGAGAUCUGGGUUCGAAUCGCCGGCUGACGCA